CGUAUAUUUAUAAAUGUGUAAUCCAAAUUUAUUAUACAUCCAUAUGUUUAUACCUGGAUAUAAAAUAUAUAAUAUUACAAUAACUCAGUUGGAUUUAUAAAAAAUAAUGCAGGGAAAAAAAUUUAAUUUUUAUCCAUUGCGAUUUUCUUUAUCGUACAAGACCUUAGUCAGAGAGUGACUUUUAAAAACGUAUUACAUGAACUUUCAAGUAACAGUCGGAUUUCAGGAUUCAGAUAUGACAAAGAACAAUGAUAUUUAUUCAAGUCAAUUAAAGUUUAUCUGAAGCACUACUAUAACCAGUGACUACUUCUACUUUAAUUAAGUUUUACACACUUAAAAUCAA